GGGCGUGUGGUUUAGGGGUAUAACGUUCGCUUCGCAUGCGAAAGGUCCUGGGUUCGAUUCCCAGCCCGUCCA
rnacentral:tRNA from 1 species